rnacentral:rRNA from 1 species
GACGUAGGGAGCGAGCGUUGUCCGGAAUUACUGGGCGUAAAGAGCUCGUAGGCGGGACCGUAAGUCCGAGAGGAAAUCUCAAGGCUCAACUUUGGGGCUUUCUCGGAUACUGCGGUUCUUGAGGAUAUCAGAGGAAAGUAGAAUUCCCGGUGUAGCGGUGAAAUGCGUAGAUAUCGGGAAGAACACCCGUGGCGAAGGCGGCUCUCUGGGACGGUACUGACGCUGAGACGCGAAAGCGUGGGGAGCGAACAGG